UGUUAAAAUAGUUUAAUAAAAUAAUAAUUUUGUAAAUUAUAGAUACAGGAAUUGUUUUUAACAA
rnacentral:tRNA from 2 species